AUACAGAAGACAUGGAGAAAAACAAGUCUGAACAGAAAAACUGUCUGUUGACAGUCCCAGUAUGAGAAAGAGAGAGGUCUCAUUAGAGGUUCUCAACAGAAUCAGCCAACACUUGAUUUUAACCAUCCUUGCUCUCUAUAUUGUCUAUAUUUCUUCUUCUUCUUCUUCUUCUUCUUCUACUUUAUGUUUCUUCCCUAAAAGUACAUAGGCGUCAGUGAUCAUAAAGUUGGCAGGAUGAUCCCAGUUGUGCACAGCUACUCGAGCACCCAGAUGCUAGUUGGCACUAUCAUAAGGUGAUUUGCAGAUUUUUGUUCAAUAUUACACCCCAGUCAAGAGUUAUGAAAGAGAAUAUUAUGUAGCUCUUUUUUUUUUUUUAAAAGAAAAGCGAAGUAGCAAUAUACUGAUGAACAUAAUAGGAAAGGAAAGGACGUGACGUGUGACCAAGUAUGGUGACAUAUACUCGGAAUUUGUGCUCUGCAUUUCUCACCCAAGUGCACACACACAGUAGUGUGUGUGCAUAGUAAUAAGUAAUAAGUUUACAAUGCAGUUUGUGAAUAUAGCUUCAGGAGCCAUCAGGGUGAAAAUAACAAAUGAAAACAAAUAAUUAUUAUAUAACACUAACUGCCGUAGUCCACAAAAGUUAAGAAAAUACAAUUACUUCCCUACCUCAUUAAAAUAUUAUGUACAGUUAUUCACAAUUUAGAGAGUUAACAUUUCCAAAAAAAAAAAAAAAAAAAAAAAAAAAAAAAAAAAAAAAAAAAAAAACCUGUCAGCAAUCCAACAAAUGGCUAAUAACAUCAUUUCUGAAUGGCCUACCAUUAUGAACAUAGAUAUAUCGUGUGAACCAGAUUUUUUGAAACCAGUUACAAGGUGAUGUUAUAAAAAGAAACUUUGUUUUCACUAAUAACUAAUUAUGUACUUUCUUCACAUGGGAAAACUAUUUAUUUGGAAUUAACUUCAAUUAACUUCAAUUAACUUUAGUAACUUCAUUUGAUGCUCAGAAUGAAACAAAACUAAAAUGAUCAGGUAUUUUAGUCAUUCUUUGUUUCACGUUCUGUUGAUUUUGAAUAUUAUAAAAAAUGCAUUCAUCUACAGUAUCAUUUAGAGCAGAAUCAGAGUCCUGAAAAAGCUUUAUAUACCAUAAUUUGUACAACUUUUUUUUUUUUUUUUUUUCUUGGGGAGACUUAUGUGAAAUAUACACUCGCUGUGCAAUAUAAUUAGUUCCUUUUGUUAAAAGUUAAUCUUAGAGUAACUCAACUCUGUAUGGUGCAAUUAUGUAACAUGGUUACUUGUGUGGUUCAUGUCUUUGCUGAAUGUGGUCUAUGUAAAUUAUGCUGAGUGAAAGCUAUCCUAAUUUCAGUCUACAUCUGUAUCAUUCAUUCAAAACAUUAAAUGAUUUAAUUACAUGUUUAAAAUAUAGAACUAAAUAAACACACACACACACACACACACACACAUAUAUAUUGGCAACUUAGUUUUAAUAUAGAAGUAAAUGAUUAAAACAAUUGAAAGACAUUAAAAUAAACUUUUGAGUUGCAAAUUAAAUCUUCUUAUUCAUUUGAUAUUGUCAAAUGAAUAUUGGGGGGGUAUUAUGAUGUGGAGGUGAAUUGGUUUAGUCUUGACUUCUGGUCGUGAGUGACAGCGUUGGGGGAUGGGAAAUCUGUUGAUUGUCGAUUACAAAGUAAACACAGCGAUGGAGAGAAAAAGGCCAAAGCUGUCAGGUGCCCAAUUUAGGAAAAAAGGAAAAGAAGAUGAGGAGAAACGGGCAAAAGAUAAAGGUAUGCAACAAUGUUCUCUCUGUAUGAUUAAGGUAUUCAUGUCAUUAUGUUAAUUAGUGGUAUAACGUUAACUCUUAGGUUUGUUAGCCUUCUUGCUUAUGAUGCUUGCUAUGCUUACAUUGCUAAAAAAAACUUAUUAUAGUGUGUUUUGGACACUUUUCCAAUAAAAUUUACCAUCCCACCCACCAAUAGAAUCCAUCAUAUACCAGACACUGUUAUACUUACCAUUAAUUCAAUAGGGGAGCAUAUCUCAUAUGAUGCCAUUAUUGAUGACUUUUUAUUGAUGACUCAUAUGAUGCCAUUAUUGAUGGGCACCGGGAGGGAGUCUCGCCCGGGGAGCAAUUCAGUGUAGUGUUGGCAGUGUAUGUACACAUCUACCCUAUAAUGAUACAAAUACAUGCAGUGGUUUUUAAUUAAUCUGUAAAAAAAAAUAUUCCCUUUUUCAAAUCGAGCCAUUCUCAGAUGCCUGUAAGUGUCACACCGACAGAGGCCGCUCCCACGAUAGUUGAUUGACAUGACUUACCUCAGACCUGCCCUAAAUCAGCUGUAACGGUCUAACCUCCAUUGUUUUGAUGCCGGAGCAGGAAUGUAAGCAAGCUGUCUGUGAAGCGACUGUGUAAACAGAGGCGUCCGACGCGCGGUAGCCGCUUCAGGUCAGCAGUCCGGACGUGAUUGCUGCUGCACUCAAGCACACCUGCAUUCUUAUCAUGGGUGAUGGGCAGUUCAAGAUUGCUGUCGUUCAAGAAGAUAAUGACCACUAUUGUAGUUGUGAGCUACAAAUGAAAUGUGUAUCUGUUUAUUUAAUUGAAAAUAAUGAAGCAUAUUGUAAGACUCAGAUGAUCUGACAAGCUCGUAUGACAGAUGUAAAUGGAGACUAUUGGAAAUAGUUUUCCUGUGAAGAAAUCCUAAAUGAGGGUUGAGAUGAAGGGAACCAGGUGAUGGCCAGUUCAAGAUUGCUGUCGUUUGAGAAGUUAAUGAAAAAAUCUUCUUUCCUGUUGCGGUUGUGAGCUACAAAAUACGCAGAGGAGGCGGCACUUACUCUGGAGUUCAUACAGAAGACUUGACAAGACUUGAUUUGACGAACUCAUAUGACCGAUGCAAAUGGAGACCAUUGGAAAUAAUUUUCUUGUGAAGAAAUGGUUUGAGAUGAAGGCAACCAAGUGGCUAUGCAUUCCUCCAAGACUCUUGCAUGAACAAUUUCGAAAAUCCAUGUAAUAUUUGAGUUUUUAAAUUGAAAGAAAUGGCACUUGCAUUAAACAUGCAGUUAAAUAGGAAAUAAUACAUCCCCUAUAAUGAAUUGCAUCACUUCAAUGAUAUUUCUGUUACAGUCAACUUUAAAAUUCUGUUGUCAAGCCACUGGAGUCACAUACGUUAUACCUUUCUGGACCUUGAAAAUAGUAGUUGCAUAGACAAUCAAUAGAGGGACAGAAAGUACCCAGAUUUAACUAAAAAUACUCUUAAUUUGUGUUCUAAAAAUGAAUGAAAGUCUUAUGGGUUUGGAAUGGAAUGAGGCUGAGUAAUUGACUGAAUUAACAUUUUUGUGUGAACUAUCCCUCUAAACAAUAUUGUUUGUUAUAAGAAAAAAAGUUUUGAGUCUUGACUGUUUUACAGUUUGAAGUUUAAAUUUUGUGACCACUUUUUAGUACAACACCUGUAUUGUACAGAUGCUCAUGUUUUAUUUUUUUUUUUUUUAAUUCUGUCUGUUACUGUUUAAAGCUAAACUGUCUUUUACAAUACAGCCAUUUUGCCUGAGAUGACACAUUGUUAAAUGAAUUGAGUAUUUGAUAUUGUUUAGUGCUAUCCCACUUAAGGCAAAUAAAAGCCAUUGAAUGCACUUUUAAGAAUGUUUAGAUGAAGUAAAAAUAAACCAUGUUCAAUUUG